UACGUAGGUGGCAAGCGUUGUCCGGAUUUACUGGGCGUAAAGAGCGCGCAGGCGGUCGGCCAAGUCGAGUGUGAAAGCCCCCGGCUCAACUGGGGAGGGUCAUUCGAUACUGGUCGACUCGAAGGCAGGAGAGGGAAGCGGAAUUCCCGGUGUAGUGGUGAAAUGCGUAGAUAUCGGGAGGAACACCAGUGGCGAAGGCGGCUUCCUGGCCUGUUCUUGACGCUGAGGCGGCGAAAGCUAGGGGAGCAAACGGG
rnacentral:rRNA from 1 species